AGGAAGAAAAGAAGUAAAAUGGUGAUUGUUUUUCUCCCCCAUGAAUAACUGAUGAAGCAAGACCCUAUUAAAAGCCCAAUCCUGGAUUCAUCUCUCCUCAGUUUAUACAAGUGAAGGAAAGCAGACGCAAGACAGAAGAUUCCCCAGAGAUGACAACCUUUGCAGCCCCCAAGAAACCCCAUGGUAUUCGAUAGAUAUGAUUACAUUACCAAGGAGUUCAAAGUGACAUCCAUGGUUCUUCCCUCUCCUCGUUUUAUCCUCAAAACAACCCUCUGAGACUAAACAUCUCUGUGUGGUUGGAACCAAAGGGAAGGCUACUCAUUCAGCAGUCAACAUAGGGCCACCUCCCAAGCCCUGCUAAGUUCAUUCAACAAGUUCUACUCAGAGUAGAUCCAUUGAAAUCAAUGGACACAAUUGACUUAAAUACAUUCAUUUCAGUGGGUUUACUCAGAGUAUAACUUAGUUCAGUAAAAUUCAUUAGGUCAUGUUGUGGCUCCAUUUGGGCCCUCAUUCAGUGUUAAGCACCAAACAAAUCUAUGGUUAAAAAAAGUUCUGGGGCACUCUGAAGCCUACUGUGUGCA